UAAUAUUUCUUUUAUGAUACUUCUUGUGAUUAUUUUUGUGUGAUACUUUCUAUGAAGUAUUUUUUAAAGUAGAAUGAUCGAUAUUGAUUUGUUUUAAGUUUUAUGUGUUAUUAUUUUUACAGCACAAUCGGACGCCACGUGACCUCUAUAUACAGAAUGAAUGUGAGGAGUAUGAUUCAAAAAAUAGAGAAAAACACAAGAAAGAAGUCUUGCAACUUCUGCAAGACUUUGGAGUUCCAGAGGUAAUUUUAGCCAGAGGCAGUGAGGCUCUGAAGGUUUUUAACGAGGAAUUACAAGAAGGAAGGAUCACAGUAAACCAUGCACGAUUAAUGGUGACAGGCAAAGAGGGGGUGGGCAAGACUUGUUUGGUAAACACUCUGCUUGAAAGAACAUUUAAUGAAGAAGAACCAUCGACUGAUGGAAUAGUGUUGACGACUGCUUUUCAAACUACUGAUAUAAGUAGUGUGUGGAAAGAGGCAGAGGACAUGGAC